rnacentral:rRNA from 1 species
UACGUAGGGAGCAAGCGUUAUCCGGAAUUACUGGGUGUAAAGGGUGCGUAGACGGCAGUGCAAGUCUGGAGUGAAAGGCGGGGGCUCAACCCCCGGACUGCUCUGGAAACUGUACGGCUGGAGUGCAGGAGAGGUAAGUGGAAUUCCUAGUGUAGCGGUGAAAUGCGUAGAUAUUAGGAGGAACACCAGUGGCGAAGGCGGCUUACUGGACUGUAACUGACGUUGAGGCUCGAAAGCGUGGGGAGCAAACAGG